rnacentral:lncRNA from 1 species
UGUUUAACAAGAAAUUCAUCUAAUGAGCUAUGUAGAACAAAAUAUUUACUAAAGGAUAACCUGAAAAAAAUUGCAAAUUUGAAAAAAAAAACAUCUUUUUGUAUAUGUGUGUGUGUCCAAGAGCAACUGCAGUUGUUUAAAGUUUAGGCCCCCAGGUUCUUUGGAGGGUGGAAUAUGUUUUCACUAAUAUAGUUUAAAAUUGCAGGGUCAUGGUGAUAAAAGGCUGACUGAUCUUAAUCAGUUUCAUUAUUAUUAUUCUCUUUAGAUUUGAAUUACUGUCUUCACUCUGGAAGCAGCACUCUCAUACUCCUGCCUUUGGCCUGACACAAAUGUAGCCCUUUCAAUACAUGCUAUUUUCAUUACCCAGAACAAUUACUGAAGAGUUCUUGUUGCUCUGAAUAUAGUACUUUAAAGGACAUUCACAAAAUUAUUGUAUUAUUUUCUUUGUGAUAUAUUUGUAAACAAGAUGGAUCACAUAGUUGUCUGUAGUGCCAUUUCAGAGCUGAAGAGGGUGUGUCAAGCUGUGACUUAAGAAUGGAACCUACAAAAUUGCAUGUGGAACAAGAAACUAUACAUACAUAUAAAUAGAAAGUGCUGUGAAAAAAAGGCAAUUGUUGACAAGAUGUCAAAAUGAGGAAGUAGCAAGGAAUUUCUUCAUCAUUUGAACAUAACAUCACUAUCAUAGAAUUCUAGAUAAGUUGAAAAAUAAUAAUAAUUGAAAGGUUAAAUUACAGGCAAAGAGGCAUUCUUUAUUGCUUUUGCUCUUAGUGCAUAACUAGUAUAGUGUAUUAACUUUAAAAAAUACCAUUCCUAAGAAAAUAGCAUUUCUUUGAAAAAUUCAGUUGUAGUAUUUAGAAUAGUUUGCGACAUACCUGGUGUUUAAUAAUUCAUUGAUUGAUAAAAACAAAGCUGUAAAUACCCUUAGUGGUUUCUCAAGGAAAAACAAAUCUACACAUGAGAAUGCAAAAUGUCAGCUGAAAGUAGAUGUAACUUAUUCUGUGAAACAGAAUGCUUACUGAAUUCUCUGUGUAAAUAACAAAUAUAUAAGCCAGUGCACUACCAUCUUUGUUUACUUUUGAUAUCCACUUUCAUUUUAGAAAUGCUUUAUCUUAACUUCUUGUUACUUUCAGUUGGUAGAUACUCUUUAAUAUUUAAAGAAAGUUGGAAAUUUCCUCCACUAGCUUUUCCUCAACUUUUCCUUUCAAGAAAUUAAAAACCUAAAAGCAUCAAAGUAUUUUGUCUGAUUUAUUGUAAGGAAACCCCAAGUGAUUUUUAAAGGAAAAAAAAUUUAAUAAGAAAGUCAUCAUCAAGAAAAGCUAAAUCAUAAAUUUGGGUAUUCAAAGUAAAUGCUAUGGUGUGGUUUACUUCUCAAAUCAUGGUAUUUAAUUUCAUUUUAUUAUCUUUGCAGUAGCCAGUACUGAGUAAGACGUGUUAACAGAUAUCUAUAAAAGUGUGUUUUUUUUUUUUUCCUUCUUCUUUUUUUGAAUGGCUGUACCUAUGGCAUAUGGAACUUGCCAGGCCAGGGAUUUAAUCAAAUCCACGGCUGUUACAUACACCAUAGCUAUGGCAAGACUAGAUCCUGAGCCAGGCUGGGGAUCGAAUCCUUGCCUCUGCAGUGACCUGAGUCACUACAGUCAGAUUCUUAACCUACUGUACCACAGUAGAAAUUCUGGUAAAAGUAUGUGUUUUUUUAAAAAAAUAAGUUUAUCAAAAUAUGAUAUUAUUUUAGUUUCCUAGGACUGCUAUAUCAGAAUACCACAAUGUGAGUGUUUAAAAAAACAGAAAUUGAUAGUCCCCGUUCUGGAGGCUGGAAGUCUGAAAUCAAGAUGUCACAGGGCCACAUUCCCUUUGAAGCCUAAAGGCAAACUUUCCUUGUAUCUUCCUAGUGUCUGGUGUUUUGCCAGCAUCUUGGCAUACCUUGGCAUGUAGAUGCAUCACUCCAGCCUUCCAUCUUCAGGUAGUGUUCUCUCUGUUUCUUUUCAGAGUCUUUCUUCUGUACAUGUCAGUGACUGUGUUAAAAUUCCUCUUUAUACGAAGGCACCAGUCAUACUGGAUUGUGGCUCAGCCUAGCGACCAAAUUUUAACUUGCACUCAUGAAUGUUUUAGAUAUGACUUGUGUGUAUAAAUGCAUAAAUAUGGUUAUGGAAAAACAUAUAACUUAUACUACUGUUAUAUGUGUGGAGAGUAAUGAGCACGACAUAGAGUGAAAGUGAAAGAACUUUCAUACUUUAUACCCUUUUGUAUUAUUUCGUCUAUUUACAACAAGAAUGCUUUGAAAUAAAAAUAUUGUAAAAAAAGAAGAUAGAAAGGGAAAUGUUGAUUUUGUUUGAAAAACAUUCUAAAGUCAUUUUGGGGAAAGAAAAAAAGAAAGAAAGGGAGAGAGAGAGUAGCAGGGAAGGAGGAAAGAAAGGAUGGAAAGAAGACAAACAUACAAGCUAUGUGAUUCUGGAUUCAGAGAGGAAACAUAAGAAUGUCAUAACUCAGCCAGGAAUGUGAAGAGGAUCAGAGGAUCAUGGUGGUCGGCUUGGACUGCCAUAACAAAAUACUGUAGAACGGCAGCUUAACCAACAGAAAUAUAUGUUCUGGAAGCUGCAAAGUCCAAGAUCAAGGUUCCAGAAGGUUCAGUCUCUGGUGUGGACUCUCUCUCGGACUUGUGGAUGGUCACCCCAUCUUUACAUGGCCCUUUUGCUGUGUGCUCUGAGGGAAAGGUCUCUGGCGUAUCUUCCACUUCUUAUACUAGCACCAGCCCUGGGAGAAUAGGGCCCUCCCCUCUUGACCUCAUUUAGCCUUUAUCACAUUCUCACCAGCCCUAUCUCCAAAUAUGGUUGCACUCCCACAUAUGAAUUGGGGAGGACAAAAAGAUUCAGUGUAUGUGACAGAUCAAUUACUACCAUCAUUUAGGAUACCCUUUUGUACCCCCAAGAUAUUUCCCAAGCCAAAGACAGACAAAAGAUGUGUGUGCAAGUUAGAAAACCACAAUUACUACUGAUUGGGUCUGGCCUCGACUAAUGUAGGUUUUAGAUGGUAUUUGUCACAGGAAAGAUGGUGUUAGUGAAUUCCUUUGCUCUUUUAUUAUCAUUGUAAGCCAACCACAAGAAGAUGAUGACCAUUGAAACAUUAAGCAACAAGAAAGUCAGAGAUUACAAACUAAAGAGAUCUAUUCCUAAUUCCCUUCUUUGUGACCCUGUGUAUAUCAGCAGCAGCUGAGCUUCUAUUUGUUUCUAAAGAGACUUCCAUUGCAGGAGACCCAGAAGUAUGAAGGAAACAUGAUAGUUCGGUUCAAUUUUACUAUUCCCCAGUUCAUCUGUCUUGCAUAAAAAAAUGACAAUAUCCUCAUUUGUUUCUCUGGAAACAACAACUGUGGAUUAAGAGUGAUGUGCUAGUUAAAAAAAAAAAAAUAGAGAGAGUGAUGUGCUAGUGACAGACACUGAACCUGUCCCUAAAAGCCCCAGGUUAUCCACACCAGACAAGGUUGAAUUUUAAAUACAAUUCAUCUUGGCUUCAUGUCAAUGGAUGUUGCACACCACUACCUCCCUAAAAUUCUCUCUCCUAAUUCUCAGUGUUGGAAAUUACCUGUAGUGUGUUGUUAAAGGU